rnacentral:rRNA from 1 species
GAUGAACGCUGGCGGCGUGCUUAACACAUGCAAGUCGAACGAAGCGACUAUGAUUGAGAUUUCGGUUGAUUGAAUAGUUGACUUAGUGGCGGACGGGUGAGUAACGCGUGGGUAACCUGCCUCGUACAGGGGGAUAACAGUUAGAAAUGACUGCUAAUACCGCAUAACCCGCUAGGGUCGCAUGACCCGGACGGAAAAGAUUUAUUGGUACGAGAUGGACCCGCGUCUGAUUAGCUAGUUGGUGAGGUAACGGCCCACCAAGGCGACGAUCAGUAGCCGGCCUGAGAGGGUGAACGGCCACAUUGGGACUGAGACACGGCCCAAACUCCUACGGGAGGCAGCAGUGGGAAUAUUGCACAAUGGGGGAAACCCUGAUGCAGCAACGCCGCGUGAGUGAAGAAGUAUUUCGGUAUGUAAAAGCUACUAUCAGCA